UACAGAGGGGGCAAGCGUUAUUCGGAAUUAUUGGGCGUAAAGGGCGCGUAGGCGGCGAUUCAAGUGACGGGUGAAAUCCCUCGGCUUAACCGAGGAACUGCCUGUCAGACUGGAUUGCUUGAGGCCGGGAGAGGCGAGUGGAAUUCCCAGUGUAGCGGUGAAAUGCGUAGAUAUUGGGAGGAACACCAGUGGCGAAGGCGGCUCGCUGGACCGGUACUGACGCUGAGGCGCGAAAGCGUGGGUAGCAAACGGG
rnacentral:rRNA from 1 species